rnacentral:rRNA from 1 species
GUGGGGAAUUUUCCGCAAUGGGCGAAAGCCUGACGGAGCAAUACCGCGUGAGGGAAGACGGCCUAUGGGUUGUAAACCUCUUUUUUCAGGGAGGAACAAAAUGACGUGUACCUGAAGAAUAAGCAUCGGCUAACUCCGUGCCAGCAGCCGCGGUAAGACGGAGGAUGCAAGUGUUAUCCGGAAUCACUGGGCGUAAAGCGUCUGUAGGUGGUUUGUUAAGUCAACUGUUAAAUCUUGAGGCUCAACUUCAAAUCAGCAGUCGAAACUAUCAGACUAGAGUAUAGUAGGGGUAAAGGGAAUUUCCAGUGGAGCGGUGAAAUGCGUAGAUAUUGGAAAGAACACCGAUGGCGAAGGCACUUUACUGGGCUAUUACUAACACUCAGAGACGAAAGCUAGGGUAGCAAAUGGGAUUAGAAACCCGAGUAGUCC